rnacentral:snRNA from 1 species
AUACCUUUCUCGGCCUUUUGGCUAAGAUCAAGUGUAGUAUUUGUUCUUAUCAGUUUAAUAUUUGAUAUGUAGGCCAUCGGCUCAUACGAUAUUAACUCAAUUUUUUAAGGGGAAAGAUCCAUCAAGGUAGCUUGCUAUCUGGGCCUUUGUGCGUUGCCCUGAUCUUGCACUAUUGCUUGGGCCUGACGCACCCCAA